AAAUGAUACUAAACUGUUUUUGCGAUGUGUUCCUAAUAUGUACUAUAAAUAUAUUGGGAACAUUUUGCAUGUGUAGUUUUGUAUCCAUAUA
ensembl:miRNA MIR450A1 microRNA 450a-1